CCUACGGGAGGCAGCAGUGGGGAAUAUUGCACAAUGGGGGGAACCCUGAUGCAGCAACGCCGCGUGGGUGAAGAAGUACUUCGGUAUGUAAAGCCCUGUCAGCAGGGGAGAAAAUGACGGUACCUGACCAAGAAGCCCCGGCUAACUACGUGCCAGCAGCCGCGGUAAUACGUAGGGGGCAAGCGUUAUGCGGAUUUACUGGGUGUAAAGGGAGCGUAGACGGCAAGGCAAGUCUGGAGUGAAAGCCCGUGGCUCAACCACGGGACUGCUUUUGAAACUGUGUUGCUGGAGUGCAGGAGGGGUAAGCGGAAUGCCUAGUGUAGCGGUGAAAUGCGUAGAUAUUAGGAGGAACACCGGUGGCGAAGGCGGCUUACUGGACUGUAACUGACGUUGAGGCUCGAAGGCGUGGGGAGCAAACAGGAUUAGAUACCCCAGUAGUC
rnacentral:rRNA from 1 species